AGGGUGUCUAGAGUACUGUUCUUAGCAAGAUGGAAGAAUGAAGAAAUUUUCAGUGUUCUAAAACUGCAACUAGUCCUCAGCCUCUAUACUAGCAUCAAAAUGCAAAUGUAGUCUGCAUAGUUAUAAAGUUUUUGCAACCUAAAACAAUAUAAGUCUACACCUAAUGAAAUAACAGGGACAAAUCUGGGCUUCUGAGCUGAUUGUGGCUUGCAAACAGUCUGGCUAUAGGCAGUACCUGCUGCUGACAGAUUGUUCAACGAGAGAGGGCUCUGUAGGCCCAGAGGCUGUUGGAUCACAUUGAGUUCUUUGGCUAAAGGAUGAAAAAUUUUAGCCAAAGGGAAGAGUUUCUGUGGUCAAUAUAAAUUGCUUUUCUUAGCUCUUCCUUUGGUUGUUACAUUCACCUGGCUUGGGUGAUAAGGAAAUUCCAGGCAGGAAGCUGUUAUGCUAAUGAAGGGAAGUAAAAAACCCUGUGGAUUUCCAGGGCUCUGGAGGCAGCCGUUGAGGAGCAUCAUGAUCUUUCCAGAAAUCCUCUGCAAUGUUGUCUUACCCAGGUCUUCAUGUUGAGGACUGGUAUGCUCAGAAUCCAUCUGCUGGGUGAGGAUUAAAUAACCCGUGCUAAUGCAGUGUUAACAGCCAGUAACUUUACAAUGUCUGUGAAACUGGCUCUGCAUGGAGGUCACAGAAUGUGCUGCACUGGUUUUGCACAGGAAGGUUUUAGUGGCUGGAGGGGCUCUGUGAAAAGAAGAUCCAAUGCCAGCUGGCUCCAGGAUGGUCCAUCCACUGGCCAAGGUCAAGCCCAUUGGCAAUGGUGGCAGUGCCUCUGGAACAACGUACUUAAGAAGGGGGAAAAACUUCUGCAGCAGCAAUCACAGCCAGAGAAUGGAGGAGUGAGUGCACAUGACAGCAAGAGCCCUGCAAACACCAAAGUCAGUGAGAAGGAGGGGCAGGAGGAGCUCCAGGGGCUGGAGCAGAGAUUCCUCUGCAGCCCCUGGUGCAGACCCUGCUGAAGCAGCUGUGUCCCUGCAGCCCGUGGGGUUCCACAGCAGAGCAGAGAUCCACCUGCAGCCCAUGGAGGACCCCACUCUGGAGAAGAUAAAUGUGCCUGAAGGAGACUGUGAGCCUGUGGGAAACCUGUGCUGGAGCCGGCUUUUGGCAGGACCCCUGAAGAGAGGAGCCUGGAUGGGAGCAGGUUUGCUGGCAGCACUUGUGACCCCACAGGAGACCUACUGCAGAUCAGCCUGAUCCUGAAGGAUAGUAGGAAGGGAUUCAUGCUGGAAUAAUUUGUGAAGUCUGUGAGAAAAAUUCAUGUUGGAGAAGUUUGUGGAUGGCUGUGUCCCAGAGGAGGGACCUCACACUGGAGCAAAGGAGGACUGUGAGUAGUAAAGCAUGAACAGGACCUAUUCUCUACCCCUCUGCACCAGGAGGAAGGGGCAGAGAAAACCAAGAGACAAGUCUGGAAAGAAGGAAAGGGUGUGGGGAAGUUUGUGCUGAGUUGCCAAAAACCCUCCAAGAAACUGAGCAUCUGGAGAAAAUCUGAAGCAAAGGAUAGUGACCUUCCCAAGGACAAAACGCAUGAAUGGAUGGCAAAAAGAUCCACACAGCAACCUCAGUGCUGGCUCCUGUGCAGGUGGACAGCAACAGACCACUUAAAGAAUGCACACUUGGAACAGUAAGAAGCACUGCAAUGACCUUUUUGGUUUUUUCCUUUACAAACUGACAGGGGAAAGUGUAGAGUAUUGUAUAAGUCACUGCUUGUUUCGACUAGCACAGUUCUGGUGCACAGUGAGCAGAGUGACAAAAUUCCUGUGCUCAGUUACAGAGAUGACUUUCCCUUGGAAAGGGUGGUUCAGGGCAGCUGAGUCAACCUUCACCCACGGCCACAGACCUCAGAAAACAGGGCAGCCACUGCUACAGCAGCAGGUAUGACAGCAGACCUCUUCCCACUUUUAUGGCCUAACACAAAGCAUGCCAUCCUCUCCCCUCUUGAUAGUUCAAGAGGCCAUCAUUUCACCAGCUCUUUAUUUAAUCCUGACUAAUCCUGGACUCAAGCCAGAGCCUUUUGUGUAGAUGAGGUGAAAACCUGAAGGACACACCACAAGAAAAAGGAAAGCAUAAUUUGAAAAGUAGCUGCUUUUACUCCAUAAUCUUGAGGCAAACCAGAUUACUGAAGCGCUAACUAAAUGGAAAUAUUUGUUUCUAAAAAGAGCAAAUUAUUUAAACUUAUUGCCAUUUUUCAAAGUAUAAAGACAUGAGCUUCCUCUCUUUUCCUCUCUGCAGACUUAUUCUUGCUGGCAGAAAAAAAAAAAGCCGUGACACUCAAACUUCACUACUGAAGUCUUUCAAAAGAAUUAGGUAUUUGGAUAUCUAUGCCACAGAUUUACCCUCAAAGAAUUUACCCUCAAAGAUGAAUGGAUUUUGACUAUCAAAAUAUCAGACAUGUAGAACUGUAAAAUCAUGGAAUCAUCAAGGUUGGAAAAGACCUCUAGGAAUGCCAAGUGCAACCAUCAGCCCAGCAAAUUGUAACUCUCAACCACUAACCCACAUCACCCAGCACCAAAUACAGAUGCCUCUUCAACACCUCCAGAGAUGGUGACUCCACCUGGGAUGGUAACUCCCAGGGCAGCGUAUUCCAAUGCCUGAUAUGCCCCUAAAAGUGAAUUUUUUUCUCUUUUCUAAUAUCUAACCUGAUUCUCCUGUCUCAGCUGGAGGCUAUUUCCUCUGAUCCUUUCACUUCAGGGACAGUAGAAGUGACCAACCCCCACCUCACUACAGCCUCCUUUCAGGGAGUUGAGGAGAGCAAUGAGGUCUCCCCUAAGCCUCCUCAUGACUAAACAAACCCAGCUCCCUCAGCAACUGCUUAUAAGGCAAGCUUCCUAGACCCUUCACAAACCUUGUUGCUCCGCACUGGACACACUCCAGCACUUCUAUCUCCUUAAUACCAAAUACCAACCUUAAUACUCAAUUUGUGUUCCCAUUUGUGCUUUGUUUUUAAUAAUUAUCUUCCCAUAAAACUAAAGAUCAAAGAUUUGACAGCCGACCAAACACCAAACUUAAGGACUGGAUUUUGCAAGUAGUUUGGAAAGAGUUAUCUGAAGCUGGGAAGUAUUAGGUCUCAGCUCUUCCUGUAAGCUGGUCAGCCUUUAUUUUUAGUUUUCAAUUGUCAAUAUUUCUUUUCCUUUUGUAAAGGAAGUUAAAAGUACUGCCAGUACUUGAAGCUGUAUUUACAAGUCCAGUGUGAUAUGAUACAAACAGGGUUGAUAAUUUUACGCAGCAUUCAGACUACUUCAGCUCCUUCAGAUGGCAGAACCUCUAAGAAAAAGACUAAAUGCUUAUAUCACUGAAGUUGCCACAGGUUUGCUGAUCUCAUGUUAGCUGAAAAACUGAGAACUCAGCUCCUUAGGGAAGGUGCAAGCCACCUUUCCAUAUUAAACUUUUAAUGCUACUUCCAGAUCAAGACUUUUAAAAAUCACUUUGUGGUUUAAAAGCACUGCCUGUAAAAUUAGCAACUAAACGCUUCCUUUACCAAAGUGCACAGGAACAGAGAAGGGGAUUCAUUUUCCUCUGCUAUAUUAGAACAAACACCUUGUUUCACCUGAAACUGUUGAGAGUUCAACACAAAUCCUAUCCACACAAACCAAAUCAAAUAACAGAUUAAAUCUAUCACCUGUGUUUUAUGAACAUCAGGCUAUGGAAAACAUACUAACACUGUGAUUGAUCCCUAUCCUCAUCUUGCAGAAAAACACAACAGAAGAAACCAUUUAUUUUGAAACUGUUAAAUAAAGAAGAGGGAAAGGUAGUUAGCACAAGACCAGAACUUAGUAUUUAAACUGGAAAUACUCUUCGGAUGUAUUUCAUGCUUUCAAUAAAGCUACAGUGUAUAUGAAGUCAACACUUUGUGAAAGAGAACACCAAGGGCAGAAGGCUCUAACAGCUGCAUCUCUGGUAGACGAUGCCAAAAGCUGAAGCACAAAAGAAUUGUGCUACGUGAAAUCACUAAGGUGGUAUCUGUUCUGCCAAACUCUGCACUCAUGCGACUACCUUGAGCAGACCUGAAACUCGCCUGCACAAGCCCAGGUCUUGCUAAGCAGCACUGCUGGUGUCUCUGUGCAGGUCAUGGACACACCCCCACACAGCAAUGUGUGCUGGUCAGACCACACAGACCUCUUGGCUGUGGCAGCUGGGCUGUAGCAGAUCUGAGCAAGCUUUUCCAAGAGCACCUCCUGUCUGCCUGCAGAAGAGCUGGAUGAUUUGUUUUGUUAUGAUACAGACAUAAUAAAACUACAGUUUAAAGGACUGUUUACCUUUAAGGCCUAUCUUUCAUGAUUCAUGAUAUAUACUCUAGAAGAAAAGGCACAUGCAUUUGCUUUAAAAAUUCUGCUGUUCCAGUAAACCUAAAAAACUUAAAUGUGAUUGAAUUGUGUUAUUGUGAGCCUAUUCAACUACAGUUUCUGUUGUAAACAGAAAACCUUUUUCCCCUCCUAAGCCCUAAAGUGAAAACCCCUGUAAUGACUUGAAAAGUUUCAUCUAAGACUUCAACCUUUGCAAAGAGAGAUUGCAACAAUAGUUUGUUUUUAUUGUUGAUUGUUUGUAUUAAUUUAAAAAAAAAUAUAUAUAUAUGAGCACAAUCCUAGCAAUAUCAAGAACUUAUUCAUAUCGAGAGUGAAGUUAAAAAGGGAAAUGAAAACUGGGGUGAUGGCUGGAUACUGGAAUGCAAAUCAACAGAUAAGCAUGAAAUAAGGGGAAGAGGAAUAGUCACUACAACCAACUAGCAUGAAGAAGCCCUUAAUUACCCUAAUAAGCAUCUGCUCAUUAUGCAGGUUUGUGAGAUUUUUUCAAGACUGAAAAGUUAAAUUUGAAGAAAGUGAACACCUACUGGGCCCAGACAGCAACCAAGUCUGAGAUACUUUUAGGCUCAGUAACAUACUUGGAUUCCCAUUUAGCCUUGUCUAGAUACCUGGAUUCCUAUUUAAGAUCACAUUGAAUAAGAGCAAGGAAUAGGCCAGCCAGCCUCUUAUGUCAAUAGCCUUUUUUGUAUCAUCUUGAUUUUCCUCAUCUCAACACUGCAGAAUUUGGUUUGUCUUUGCUGCCAGGAAUGCACAAGGACAGCAGAAACAUGGAAUGUUAAUGCACACACCAUAAAGAUACUGCACAGGAGUGUAAAAAACAAUCGUUCUGAAGAUCAAUAAACUGUACCAACUAUUUUUACAAGA